rnacentral:rRNA from 1 species
UACAGAGGUCCCAAGCGUUGUUCGGAUUCACUGGGCGUAAAGGGUGCGUAGGCGGCCACCGCAAGUCGACUGUGAAAUCUCCGGGCUUAACCCGGAAAGGUCAGCCGAUACUGCGGGGCUAGAGUGCAGAAGGGGCAACUGGAAUUCUCGGUGUAGCGGUGAAAUGCGUAGAUAUCGAGAGGAACACCUGCGGCGAAGGCGGGUUGCUGGGCUGACACUGACGCUGAGGCGCGAAAGCGUGGGGAGCAAACAGG